CCUACGGGUGGCAGCAGUGGGGAAUAUUCCGCAAUGGGCGAAAGCCUGACGCAGCGACGCCGCGUGAGGGAUGCAGGUCUUCGGAUUGUAAACCUCUGUUAGCAGGGAAGAACGAUAACUUUGCUAAUCAGUAGUGAAUUGACUGUACCUGCCAAGGAAGCACCGGCUAACUCCGUGCUCGCAGCCGCGGUAAUACGGAGGGUUCUAGCGUUAAUCGGAAUUACUGGGCGGAAAGCGCUCGUAGGCGGUAGGUGCAGUCAAGGGUGAAAUCCCGCGGCUUAAGGUGGGAACUGCCUUUGAAACUGGCAAACUGGAGUGUGUGAGAGGAAAGUGGAAUUCCAAGUGUAGGAGUGAAAUGCGUAGAGAUCUAGAGGAACAUCAGUGGCGAAGGCGACUAUCUGGCACAUAACUGACGCUGAGGAGCGAAAGCGUGGGUAGCAAACAGGAUUAGAUACCCGUGUAGUC
rnacentral:rRNA from 1 species